rnacentral:rRNA from 1 species
CCAUUGGAACCCAUAUCAUUUUUUUUUGCUUCGGCGGAGCUGCCCCCCCGCGAGGGGGGGAGUGCACCCCUCCGCCGACAGCUUUACCUUACCUCUCAUCCUUAUAUUUCUGAGUCUCAGAGUCUCCAAAAGCGAGAGAGUUACAACCUUCAACGAUGGAUCUCUCGGCUCCGGCCUCGAUGAAGAACGCAGCGAAAUGCGAUACCUAAUAGGACUCGCAGACCCCCUCAGUGAAUCAUCGAGUUUUUGAACGCACAUGGCACCCGCCAGCAUUCUGGCGGGUCUGUCUGUCCGAGCGUCGUCUCACGUCCCCCGGGCACUCGUCCCGGCGUUGGGGCAUGCGUCUUCCCCGGCGCAGCCCUCAAAUACAGUGGCGGUUCCGCAGCACGCAAACGCUGGCACGCAGUAGAUUCGUCACCGUGCCGGACGAUGCAACCUUUGCGGGACCCGCCUCGACGGGCCGAUCCCCACCCCGCUCAUCCCCUCCGUAUUUGGACGGGGGGGGAGGGGAUCGCCACACCUAGCACCGUCGACCUCGGAUCAGACAGGGUUACCCGCUGAACUUAAGC